rnacentral:rRNA from 1 species
AUAAGAUUUCCCACCGCAAGGGUAAGACCCCAGAAAGACUAUCUGGUUGAUAGGUCGAAGGUGUAAGUGCAGCAAUGUAUUUAGCUUAUCGAUACUAAUAGGUCGAGGACUUGACCAA